ACUGCAGCAAGUGGAAACACUCCUUUUUCAACGCGAAUGGCCCUGAACUCCAGUUUUCACCGUUUAUUACUCACACCAUCUCGCUAAUUGAUUUCCCCUUCUGAGCUUCAGUGUUCUCAUCUCUAAAAUGGGGAGAAAGAAAGAAAAAGAAAAAUCACGGAACUGCUGGCUCAGAGCCUAGCAGCUUCCCGGAAGAUGGAGGAAGGCUGGUGUGAACUUCCUGUAACCCACAAACUCUUAGAGGAAGAAGCCAGGAAGGGUGCUGUCGACCUGGCUUCAGCCUAACUCAUGCAGGACAGCUUUCUCGGAGGUGAGACACAGCUCUACUCCCCAGACGAGCACAGGGACACAUGAAAUCCCGUGGCCACGACGAACAGUCACUGUGCAGAAGGACUGGGCUGUUCAUCAGCUUCCGUAUUUGCAGAUUGUAGCCCCAGUAACUGUUUCCCUCAGCCUGUUACCAGAUAGAGGUGUGACUGGCAGGAAUCCUGAGACCUCAUUUUCUACCACCUUAUCCAGAUACAAAUACUCAGGAUGCCUGCACCGCUGGAAUGCUCGCUCGUGGCGACUACUAUGCCAAUCCCCCAGGGUAGGUUUUUCUUUAGAUGACAACCUUUCAGCCACCUUAUUUGAAGUCUCAACAUCACUGAGCAAAUUAUUUAUCCUGUUACUUACUCUAUUCUGAUGUCCCUUCCAACCAAUGGAGGGAGCCUAAUGAGUCCCUGGACCCCACAGCUUCGACAUAGCAAUAGGGGAGCCUUGCCUAAACUCCCCAGAGUGGCUACAUGAGGUACCAGUGGUCAAGGGGAAAACAUCCUCAGUCCCUGGCUGCUGCCUGACCUCAUAAAGUGGCCUAAGCCCAUCUUUGAAGCUCCCAGCCACCCGUUGAGAGGCUAAAGAAAGUAGGCCUGGUGUCUCUCAUCUGCAAUCCCAACACAGGCUAGAAGGCAGGAGGAUGGAUUCCUGUGAGUUUGAGGUCAGCCUGGGAUAUGCAGUGAGUUUAAGGACCAGCCUUGGCUGCAGAGGAAGGACCUGUCUCAAAACACUAAAGAACAAGGAGCCAGCAAGUAAAGUACAUCUUUAGACUGCUAAAGAUCUGCGUUUGAUUCUCUGCAAGUUGUUGCCUGACCUCCAGAUAUGGCCGUGGUGUCCCACCCCCAUGAUAAUAAUGCAUUUUAAAAGAAGUUUACAAAAAGAAAAAACAAAGUAGUAAACAGUAGAAACAAGACCCCACUCCAUGUUCUCUCUCGUGUAUGGAUCUCAAUGUGAAUGUGGUACAGACUUUAAGGUUGUGUGUUCAAUCUGGAUACCUGUCGAAACCAGGAACCAGGAAGCUUGGAGGUGGGGGUGGGGUGGGGAAGAGUUGAACAGGCAGUAUGAAAGGGACAGAAGAAUAAUGGGGGUUAGGUUUAAGUAGUGUGGUGGUUUGUAUAUGCUUGGCCCAGGGAGUAUCACUAUUAGGAGGU